GAGGAUAGAUGGGGCUGAUGGGUAGAAAGAAUAAAUAGGAUGAGAAAUCUAGGCUUGAGAGAGAAGAACGAAUGAAGGAGGAGGGAAUGAGGAAGACACCCUGGGCCAGAACCAGGCAGCUUCCAAGCCAGCAGACGGCACCAGAAGCAAUGAGGAUGGGAUCAGAAUACGGUACUCUGGCUGGAUGAUGAUUUUGAGCUGAAGGCAAAUGAAGAACAGCAAAUACUGAAGGAGAACAACAAUUUGAGUUUUUCAUCCCGUUUUCUGAGUGUUACAUGCUUUACAAGUUCAUAAACUUUGCUCCGGUUAA